UACGGAGGAUCCAAGCGUUAUCCGGAAUCAUUGGGUUUAAAGGGUCCGUAGGCGGUUUGGUAAGUCAGUGGUGAAAGCCCAUCGCUCAACGGUGGAACGGCCAUUGAUACUGCCAGACUUGAAUUAUUAGGAAGUAACUAGAAUAUGUAGUGUAGCGGUGAAGUGCUUAGAGAUUACAUGGAAUACCAAUUGCGAAGGCAGGUUACUACUAAUGAUUGACGCUGAUGGACGAAAGCGUGGGUAGCGAACAGG
rnacentral:rRNA from 1 species